AAAAUUCUUAAUCUUGAUUUUCAAUUUCCUUACAAUGAUCUGUCACUUCACAGAAAGGUCAGCAUUUGGAACCUCUUCAUCGAUGAAUUUCAUUAAUUCUGUGAAUCUCCAAAGCCUAAACUAAGCGCAGACCAGAACUGACCAUUCUCAGCCCUACUUCAGAAAACAACAAGAAGGUACUGCCUGUUGUAUUAAAAGAGCCAUUAAGUCAAGAGCCAAGCCCAAAACUGCAUGGAGAGACCUCUACAGGAAUGUAGCUAUGGAGAAGGAUGGUCAUCAGAGUUACUUUAUUAGUCUAUCUUAUUUUUUUUUAACCAAAGUUUUAAAAAUGUUCAGCUGUUACCUUUAUAGAUACUGCCUUUUCUCUAUUCUAUGCCUAUCAUCUAAAACUCUAAUUUAAUUUUUUUUUCUGUUUUCCUUAUCUUUUAACCUUGUCCCAUAUUUUUUGUCUUGUCUCUUUUCCACUACUUCCUGGUCUAUCUCUAUUUUUUUUUUCCUGAUCUCUCUUCAGCUCUACCUGCUUCAUAACGUGUGGUCUGCUGUUUAAACUUAUUCAGACUUUUUAACUUUAGAAUUUUCAAAAACUUUCUGCCAAGUGUACUAUUUUUUUAGGUUGUGGUUUAUUCUACAGACAUUUUUAGGCACAACAGCAAAUAGGUGUGAUCUAUUGCAUUAUGAAAUACUGCUUGGUACUAAAGGUUUUUGAGCAGUAAGUGUGUACACAGGCACAGGCCAUAGGGUAGGGAGGAGCCAGAGAAGGUAACCUAUCUAGUGUUCUGAAAAAUAUAAUCGUUAAAGGAUUUGUGGCUCCAUCUUGUUUUUGUAUUGUGCAGUGUCUCUUUUAGCAGGCAUUUUGUUUUCUUUAGUGGUCCUUUACAUUUAUCUUCACUGAACACAAAAAUUCCAUUAAAUAUAAAUUAUUAGUAAAAAAUUAGAAGAAAUUGAUAUUUGGGCUUUAAUUUUUUCCCCCCUCCCCUCUGCUCAAGCAUCAUCUUAAGUGGAUCUUGAAGCUCUCAGAACAUUUCAAUAAUAGCUCUGUCUCCCAAGAAAUAGACAUAGAUGCAAUUCAUUUUAGUAAUAUUUGGUUCUUGUGUUUCAGGACUGUUACUUAAUAUACCUUAUGUUGAAAUUUAGAACUGUUUGAAAAGAUGUAAGAGGUACUUAAAUUCUUUAGGUGGCCUUUAGCGUAUAUGCAUACUUUUUUUUUGUGAGUGGUGGAAUUUUAAAGAUCUAGUGGGUAGGAUUACCAAGAUUACUCCCAGGGAAAUGUAAGGAAAGAAGAAUUAUACUAGAGUGUGAAUUUUAGUACAUAAGAACUGUAUCUGCAAAAUAUUUUUGAAAGUUUGAUCAAAAUGGAAAUUGACUUUGCAGAUGGCUCUUGUAAAUGAGCCCAACCUUUAGGGAAAGGAAUUUGGUACUGUAGUAACAAAUUAUCAAGUCUUUAGACUCCUUGAGCUGGUGUACUCAAGUACUAGAAUUUGUCAGAAAAAAAUAAUCUAAUAGAAGUACCUGUACUAUAUGAAGGUAUUUAUUAAACUAUUGUUUAUAGAAAUAAACAGUUGAAACAAUCUAAACUAAUAUAGAAAUGAUUAAUUAUCUUGAGUAUCUGCUCAAGGAAUAUUUUAGAGCAUGUAGAUUAUACUUAGGCAAACUGUAAAGUAAAAUAAAUAUAGUUGUGCUUCUAAGUGAAAGAAGUAGAAAAUACUAUUUUUGAACCCCAUUGAUUAUAGCUAUUUAGGCAGAGACUAAAAGGGAAUACACAAAAGUAUAGUAGCUACAGAAUUAGUGGUUAGGUUGUUUUUCUCUUUCUAGACUACUACUGUUCUCUAAUGAAAAUAUUAAAAGCAUACGAGAAUAGGGGUACUUAUCAGAGAGAGAGCCCUUUUCAUAUUUCUUGGGUUGAGGAAAAUGUUUUAAAUUUAUACCUCUGGGUAAAGAAUAUCUAACACAAGGAGCCUAUAGAAUAUAUGUUUUUUGUUCUUUUGAAACUUUUCUAGGAAGCUUGCUCACCUCCUCUCUCUCCUCUCACCUCAAACUCAUGGCAGUCCCCCUGCCUCAGCCUCCUGAGUGCUGGGAUUGCAGGCACGGCCAACCACAUUCAGCCUUAGAAACCUUUUUAAAAACUUUUUCUUUAGAUAAAAUUAAAUACACUUUCUUCUACAGUCUCCUGUACUUUUUAUUUCUCUUACAGUGCGUGUUUUAUGUCAUUUCAUUUGUUUAUUGGCCUCUUUCUAUUAGAUGUUAAUUUUUUCUGCCUUAUCUUUGUAUUCCUUGCCCUUUACAUGCUAUCUUGCACAUAGAAAAUACUUAAUACGUGUUUACUGAAUUUAUGUAUGAAUGAAUAAAAUAAUGCUUUUUUAAAAUUAGUUACCGAAGAUAUAUUUGGUUAUCACUGGUAAUAAACUGCAUAUUUUGGGGUAAGUAGGGCUGAGAGGGCUUGAGAUUUAGUUGUAUUUCAUCAUUUUUUACUAUGAAUAAUUCUUCAUAUGUUGCUCUUUCACAUUGAUUAGCCUUUCUAAGCUUUGAAUAUUAUUUCCCAAAUAUUUUUUUUGGUACUGGGGAUCGUAACCUGAAUCCUUGCACUUGUGAGGCAGGCAUGGUGCCACUGAGCUAAAUCCCUGGCCCCAGUGACCCGAUAAUUUUUGAGUCAUGUUGGUAUUAAAAUUAGGUAUGAAUAUUUACACAUUUUAAUAAAUUAUUUUGCUUCUUUUGCGUAUAAAAACAAAGGAGAGGAUUCUUUUAUGCAUAAUGAAUUAUCUGUUGUAGUCUAAAGUGAAUGCAAGUUUUUAUGUAGUAUUUUUGGGAGGAAUAUGUAUGUUUUAUGAAAUUUGGGGUAUAAAUGAGAAUUUUGAAGCAGAUUUUAAGCUGUUACUGCUUUAAUUGGUAAACAAUUAAAUGCCCUACGUUCUGAAUUACUUUAGCUCAUAAGUGAUUAUCAUCAAUAGAUGCAAUAAACCAUGUAUCUCUUUUUAUUAUUUCAACUUUUACUUUAGCUUUUCAAUGAUCUUUUUAAGAAUAAUGCAAACCGUGCUGAGAAUGUAGAGAGAAAACAAAAUCAGAAUGUUAUUUUAUGGAGGUGAUGACUAGUAGAAGGAGUCUAUGAUUACCUGAUGUAUGUAGGUAUUCAAUUGAUUCUUCUCAGGACGGGUGGUUUUCCAGGUUCCUGACUGGCUUCAUCAUCUAUUAAUGGGAGCUCGAAUCCUCUUUUAAAAACACCCUGGAAAUGUAUACUGACUACUAUCUUCAGUGUAAACUAGAA
ensembl:lncRNA